CUAAUUAUAGUAUAAAUAUUACCCUAACCUUUCACAUUAGAAAUACAGAAAUGUUAAUUAGC
rnacentral:tRNA from 1 species